rnacentral:rRNA from 1 species
GUGGGGAAUAUUGGACAAUGGGCGAAAGCCUGAUCCAGCAAUGCCGCGUGAGUGAUGAAGGCCUUAGGGUUGUAAAGCUCUUUUACCAGGGAUGAUAAUGACAGUACCUGGAGAAUAAGCUCCGGCUAACUCCGUGCCAGCAGCCGCGGUAAUACGGAGGGAGCUAGCGUUGUUCGGAAUUACUGGGCGUAAAGCGCACGUAGGCGGUUACUCAAGUCAGAGGUGAAAGCCCGGGGCUCAACCCCGGAACUGCCUUUGAAACUAGGUAACUAGAAUCGUGGGGAGGUCAGUGGAAUUCCGAGUGUAGAGGUGAAAUUCGUAGAUAUUCGGAAGAACACCAGUGGCGAAGGCGACUGACUGGACAAGUAUUGACGCUGAGGUGCGAAAGCGUGGGGAGCAAACAGGAUUAGAUACCCGGGUAGUCC